rnacentral:rRNA from 1 species
CAGAAACCCUUUGUGAACUCAUACCUUACUGUUGCCUCGGCGCAGGCCGGCCCCCCCGGGGGUCCCUCUUGUCUCAGGAGGAGCAGCCGGCCGGUGGCCCAAUCCAACUCUGUUUUUACACUGAAACUCUGAGUACAAAACAUAAAUGAAUCAAAACUUUCAACAACGGAUCUCUUGGUUCUGGCAUCGAUGAAGAACGCAGCGAAAUGCGAUAAGUAAUGUGAAUUGCAGAAUUCAGUGAAUCAUCGAAUCUUUGAACGCACAUUGCGCCCUCUGGUAUUCCGGAGGGCAUGCCUGUUCGAGCGUCAUUUCAACCCUCAAGCCUGGCUUGGUGCUGGGGCACUGCUCCCCCCCGGGGAGCAGGCCCUGAAAUACAGUGGCGAGCUCGCCAGGACUCCGAGCGCAGUAGUUAAACCCUCGCUCUGGAAGGCCUGGCGGUGCCCUGCCGUUAAACCCCAACUUCUGAAAAUU